AUAUCAAUUAUUUAAAUCAGCGGAUUAAGAUAGCUUUUACUAUAUCAAUGUUAUCUUGGGAUUUAUUUUUGUGGUUUGAAAUGUAUCUUCUGUUUUUACUAAAGUUGAGAGUUGACUUCCUUUUAGAGUUUUGAGGAGGUCUUUUCAGGUUUACAGAAAUAAUCUGAAAUAACAAGGAAGCAAAUUUGGCAUUGACACUGGAAAAUUGGCCUGGAAAAGUGGUAGAGAGCAACGUUUCAGUUUUGUCUAGUCUUGGCAGGGACUCUAUGACCUAGGUCUAUACAGGCAAGAGAAAAAGAAAGCAUUAUUUGCAUCUUCUUUAGUUUUUGAUUUCCCAGUACAGUCUGCUUUAUCUGUAUUAUCAAUCCUAAUAUCCUAAAUGUGUCUGUCCUUUUUGUUUUCAAAGUAAUUCCGUAUACUUCAUAACUAUCAAUGUUUUAGGACAAUUAUUAGAAGCAAGUAUAGUAUUCUGGAAAUUUGUAGGGCACUCAUUUUGCUUAAUGUAAUUAAGCCAAUGGACCAACAAUGGAUAAUGAUAUGUCCUGUAUUCAUGGCCAACUUUGUUUGGUGGGAUUGGGAACAACCGGACAGUGUGGAUAAAACUUAAGAUAAAGAAGAGUGGUAAGAAUGGACGCAAGUGGAGUCCUGAGGGCCCAGAGGUGAAAACUUUUGUUUUUGUUGCACAUGGAAAACGAUAAAAGAGUGGUGUAAAAGAAGAAUCCCAGUUUCUGGCUUGGAUGGCUGUGCAGAUGGUAUUUUUUGCUUGAGAUAGGCAAUAUUAGAAGAGAAAUUUGAGGAAAGGGGAAUGCCAAUUUCAAUUUAGAUUUCUGUUAUCUUUAAAGCGUAUGUAAAAAAUGCAAAAGAACAUACCAGUAGUCUUCUGGAAAUAGACU
rnacentral:lncRNA from 1 species